GUGGGGAAUCUUGCGCAAUGGGCGAAAGCCUGACGCAGCCAUGCCGCGUGAAUGAUGAAGGUCUUAGGAUUGUAAAAUUCUUUCACCGGGGACGAUAAUGACGGUACCCGGAGAAGAAGCCCCGGCUAACUUCGUGCCAGCAGCCGCGGUAAUACGAAGGGGGCUAGCGUUGCUCGGAAUUACUGGGCGUAAAGGGCGCGUAGGCGGACAGUUUAGUCAGAGGUGAAAGCCCAGGGCUCAACCUUGGAAUUGCCUUUGAUACUGGCUGUCUUGAGUACGGGAGAGGUGAGGGGAACUCCGAGUGUAGAGGUGAAAUUCGUAGAUAUUCGGAAGAACACCAGUGGCGAAGGCGGCUCACUGGCCCGAUACUGACGCUGAGGUGCGAAAGCGUGGGGAGCAAACAGGAUUAGAAACCCCGGUAGUCC
rnacentral:rRNA from 1 species